rnacentral:tRNA from 1 species
GCGGAAGUGGCGGAAAUUUGGUAGACGCACCAGAUUUAGGUUCUGGCUAUUUAAUAAAUAUAAUACGAGUUCGAGUCUCGUCUUCCGCA